AGAGUUUGAUCCUGGCUCAGGAUGAACGCUAGCGGCAGGCUUAACACAUGCAAGUCGAGGGGCAGCGGGGAGGAAGCUUGCUUUCUCCGCCGGCGACCGGCGCACGGGUGAGUAACACGUAUGCAACCUGCCCCUGUCAGGAGGACAACCCGCCGAAAGGCGGGCUAAACCCGCGUACAUGCCACCGGGGCAUCCCGGAGGCAGGAAAGGCUUCGGCCGGACAGGGAUGGGCAUGCGGCGCAUUAGGCAGUAGGCGGGGUAACGGCCCACCUAACCGACGAUGCGUAGGGGUUCUGAGAGGAAGGUCCCCCACACUGGUACUGAGACACGGACCAGACUCCUACGGGAGGCAGCAGUGAGGAAUAUUGGUCAAUGGUCGGGAGACUGAACCAGCCAAGCCGCGUGAGGGAGGAAGGUACAGAGUAUCGUAAACCUCUUUUGUCAGGGAACAAAGACUGGGACGCGUCCCCGGAUGAGUGUACCUGAAGAAAAAGCAUCGGCUAACUCCGUGCCAGCAGCCGCGGUAAUACGGAGGAUGCGAGCGUUAUCCGGAUUUAUUGGGUUUAAAGGGUGCGCAGGCGGUCUGUUAAGUCAGCGGUCAAAGCCCGGGGCUCAACCCCGGCCCGCCGUUGAAACUGGCAGUCUCGAGUUGGAGAGAAGUAUGCGGAAUGCGCGGUGUAGCGGUGAAAUGCAUAGAUAUCGCGCAGAACUCCGAUUGCGAAGGCAGCAUGCCGGCUCCACACUGACGCUGAGGCACGAAAGCGUGGGUAUCGAACAGGAUUAGAUACCCUGGUAGUCCACGCAGUAAACGAUGAAUGCUGGCUGUCCGGGGGGACUGACCCCUGGGUGGCGAAGCGAAAGCGAUAAGCAUUCCACCUGGGGAGUACGCCGGCAACGGUGAAACUCAAAGGAAUUGACGGGGGCCCGCACAAGCGGAGGAACAUGUGGUUUAAUUCGAUGAUACGCGAGGAACCUUACCCGGGCUCAAACGGGGAGUGCCGCAGGCAGAGACGCCUGUUUCCCACGGGACACUCCCCGAGGUGCUGCAUGGUUGUCGUCAGCUCGUGCCGUGAGGUGUCGGCUUAAGUGCCAUAACGAGCGCAACCCCCGCGUGCAGUUGCUAACAGAUAACGCUGAGGACUCCGCACGGACUGCCGGCGCAAGCCGCGAGGAAGGCGGGGAUGACGUCAAAUCAGCACGGCCCUUACGUCCGGGGCGACACACGUGUUACAAUGGGUGGUACAGCGGGAAGCCAGGCGGCGACGCCGAGCGGAACCCGAAAUCCACUCUCAGUUCGGAUCGGAGUCUGCAACCCGACUCCGUGAAGCUGGAUUCGCUAGUAAUCGCGCAUCAGCCAUGGCGCGGUGAAUACGUUCCCGGGCCUUGCACUCACCGCCCGUCA
rnacentral:rRNA from 1 species